rnacentral:rRNA from 1 species
UACGUAGGGUGCAAGCGUUGUCCGGAAUUAUUGGGCGUAAAGGGCUCGUAGGCGGUCCAUCGCGUCGGGAGUGAAAAGCUGGGGCUCAACCCCAGUCCUGCUUCCGAUACGGGUGGACUAGAGGUAGGCAGGGGAGAACGGAAUUCCUGGUGUAGCGGUGAAAUGCGCAGAUAUCAGGAAGAACACCCGUGGCGAAGGCGGUUCUCUGGGACGGUACUGACGCUGAGACGCGAAAGCGUGGGGAGCGAACAGG